UUUGUAUUUCUCUAACCUGCAGGCAAGACUCUCGCUCGUCUCCUCCAUGUCUUCUUUCAGAUAUCAAUCUGCAAAAGUUCUUUGUAAGACUUUAUAUACACUAUUAAGGUCUUUAUUAUUGUUUUAAAGAAUAAAUUAUUGUAUUUUACCUUCAUAAUUGUCACCAUUAUCUCAAGAUUUAAAAAUUACAAAGACUCGUCAAUGAAAUUACUCGGAACAAGUUAAGCUAAUUUUUUUGUUAAAAUGUGUUGGCAAACCAAAAACUAGAACUUUCACAGAACAGCGCAACAUUACACCCGAAUUCAAAGGAUUAUUAUAGACAACUUGCGAUUUUUUCCCCCUAAUUUGCUAGUAUUAAACAAGUGCAACCACUAUAAUAUGUCCCUAAUGAUAUCUGGUUAAUUUAUUUAAAUGGUAAAUUGUCUAACACGUUCCGUGAUAUGUCUCAGCCCUAAACCGGCUCUUGUUUCUACGGCCCCUGUUGUCGGCGACAGCAAUAAAGUGGAUAAAACGGUUAGUACGGCUGACCAAUGGUUAGUACGACUGACCAGUGGUUUCUCAAUUACCGGUUGAGUCAAUUAUUGGCUCUUAUAGGUUUUCUCAUAAAUGGGCUACUUUCAAAAUUAAAUUUGGGCUUGAUUUCUGGAUUUUUAAAUUUCAAUAAAAUAUCUUUUAAACUUCAGAGAAUAACAUCAUUAACUUGAUUACUGGGAAAAAAAAAUAUAAAAGGUAUUCUUCUGAACUAGUCAACUAAAGCCGGGAAAUUAAACAAUGCUUUGGAUUAUCCAUCUGUAUAGGUCUCUAACAGAUGUAUAAUAUUAUUGACAAGGCAAAGGUUUGUAAACGAGGAGAAGAUAUUUUCUAUAUGGAUAAGUUUUGAAGGAUC
rnacentral:lncRNA from 1 species